rnacentral:lncRNA from 1 species
UUCCUGUCGCCCCCUUUGCUCUACAUCCUUCAUCUUCAAAUCCCUCACAAUAAUUAAAUCUCUCUCUCUCUAAUUUCUCUUGUCAGAUAUCUCCACUUUACACACACUUCAUUUCCCCCAAACUCACGAACCUUUUUUCGUCUUAUAAUUCAUUUAUAUUCACACAAAUUCACUGGUUUAGGGUUUGAUAAUGACUUUCAGUUGGUAGAUCAUCAUGUCUCUAGGGGGUGGUGUGACGGCGGCGGAAGUUAUAGCGGUCGGAGACACGAAUGGUGGGGGUUUUCCUUCAAUUGGCGACAUCUGCAACCGACGACAUUUGCAGAUAAACGUAACAGCAUACACGCAGCCAGAUUACUCCUGACGAAGCCAGCUCCUCUUUGUUUUCAUUGCAGAGUGAGAGAUUCAAAAUAGCGGUUACUCCGUGCCCUUGAAGCUGUAGAUCUUACGAUUAGAUUAGCGAAAUCAACGGUCGGAUUGCUCCUGCUCUGGCGAUUUUCAAUCUGUUCUCCGGUUUGUUCUUCACGAGUAAGCGAAUCUCCAUAGCUGCUUGCUUCUGAUCAUCAAUAGAAGUGGUUGUUAAUUGAAAGGUGGGGUUGGGUGGGUUGAAGGUGACUGUGGAGGAGGUGGUGGGUUGAAGGUGACAGUGGAGGUGGUGGAUCGAAGGUGGUGGUGGUGGGUUGAAAGUGGUGGCGGUGGUGGUGGAUUUUAGAGGGAGAGAGGAGAGGAAGAAGAUGAGUGUGGUCAUUUCACAUAAAUUUAACUGAGAAAAUUA